CGAAUCGGGUCUCCUGGCGCUGCACCACGUCGGUCAGCGCGGUCACUUGCGCUUGCAACCGAUCGAACACGCUCGGUUCCUCCUGCUCGGGCACCUCAGGAGUCGGUGCUGGGGCAGUCCUACGCGUGUAGCGUCUUGGAGACAUUAGCCCCUGAAACGCAAUUGCUCGGUCAGUCAUCUUAACCAAUUACCUCGUCGCAAUUACGACACAUGACGACUCAUCAACACAAUCGGGCGGAAGCACACAAGUGUACUCGUUCUAGGCUCUUGGCAUCAUGUCGUCGGCCGCCGACACAACCACCUCAAGACAAGAACU
rnacentral:lncRNA from 1 species